GACAGAGCGAGACUCUGUCUUAAAAAAAAAAAAAAAAAAAAAAAAAAGAAAGAUUAUUUUAAGGGUAAUUGAGGUUACACAUAUAAAGCACCUGGUACCAUGUCUGACACAUAGUAAAUACUAAACAAAUGGAAACAUAUUCAUUCAUUCAAGCAAAUGUUUAUGUAACUUGAUUCUUUCCACUUCCCUCUCUCUACUACUAUCAUGCUGGUCAGGUUAUCCUGAUCCAUCCCCUCAGUACUUCUUCAGUAGCCUCCUAAAUUAUCUCCUCACCUGGCCCUAGGGUGAUGAAAGAAAGCCUGACUGAUAAAUUAAGAUUUAAGAGAAGCAUGGAUAUACCUGGAAAAAGUGUUUUGGUGGGAAGUGGAAGGGGCAGAGAGGAGAAAAAAAAUGUCAAACAGCCAGAGUAUUCAGAUGGAAAUCCAGUUCUGUGAGUUUUAAAAAGUGAUAUUCCUUUUAUUUUGCUCAACAAUGUGAAAACACUCUUGAUAAGAAUUCUUGACACAGUGAAAGUGAAAUGUGUUAUUUCUUUCUUCUUUGUUGCCUGCCAAAAACAAAACAUAUGGAUUGACCUAUGAGAGGAAAGCAUGUCAGUUGCAAGCAGAGCACACCCCAGAGAGAAGGCGCACCAGGCUCCAGGCCACUCUACUAUCAAAAUCAAAUGUUGACUUUUUAACUACUAAAGAUGAAGGUUGCCAUUGAAUCAAUAUUAAAGCAGGCAGAAAAGAAGAGGAUGUGUCCCAGGCUAGAAAAUAUUCCCUCGGGCUGAGGUGGAGCAUGGGGAAGAAGUGGAGAGCGGCAACACCCUGUAGAAGAAAGGACUGUGAAAAUGUGUAGGUAGAAGGCCUCAUGGGUAACCUUGUCAGGACUCCUGCACCUCACAUAUGGCAUGAAAGCCACCAAGAACACCAUGAGAGGCAGUGUUCAAAUGUUCGCAAAUGGGAAGGUCGCUGAGCACCAUCCUUCAUUCCUGCAAACGUUGCCAUCAUUGGCCUUGCAAGCCCUGACCUGGCUGUCUACAGCCUUGCAAGCAUGCGCCAUACUUCUUACAAGCAUGGACAGUCUACACCCAGGGAUCUUGUUUGAUGUGUCAUUAGCAAGCACCUCUGCAGAGGCCAGGAACCAGGAGUGAUGCUUAUCUGUGCUCCUAGGCUUUAUAGACCUUCUCUGAGUGGGCAGCUUUCCUCUUAACAUUUCAGAACACCCACAGAGCAACAGCAACAACAACAACAAAAACAUUUAAGGUGAAGCAACUUCAAAUCCUUUGAGCUUGGAUAGAGAUUCAUGAUGACUCCAUUAUACGACUUAAUUAAGAAUUUAUAUUGGUCCCUUAUAAAUACAUAUACAUUGUUUAGCAAACCUUAUUUGGCGGCACUCUGCAAAAACUGGAAACUUCUUUAUUAUACUUUCCUCACAGGAGAGAUUUAAAUAAUUAUUCUCACUGAACCCCUAAAUAGAACAUUGCAAUAUUUAAUACCCAGAGUUUUGAGAAGAAUGAACCUCUUAUUUUGCCUUUAGAAAUGCGUUUUGUUAUAGGAAACCCAGGUUCUACCUUCAACCCCCUAAGUUCUCCCUUUUCAAUUAGCAAGAAAUGCCAACUAUGGGAUGUGGAGCUCCUCAACUGUUAAAUAUUAAAUAUGGGAUGUGGAGCUCCUGAACUGUUAUUAUAUUAUAAAUAUUAUAAAUCAGUGUCAUUAUUCUGAUGAUUUCCAAGGGAGACGACUAAGGGAAACUGCAUCAAGAUAUAGGAAAAGUGAUACUUACUGACUGUGUGAACUUAUUUCCAACACAUUCUCUUGCAGUCCUGCCAUAAUCUCCCCUCCAACCAGUUCUUAAUGGUAAUGCAGCACUGGGCCCUCCUUUUAUCAAUGGAUUACCCAGAGACAGAGACAUAGGGACCCAACUCUCUAACUCAGGUGGAGAUAUUUCCAGGUAAUAUGGCAGAUUCGGCUCUGUAUCCCCAUCUCCUUUGGAAAUACAAUACCUUUCCUGUUGCUUUGGAAAUGCCAUAUUAUCAGCAUUCUCACUGGACACAAAAGAGCCAGUAUUUAUACUUACCCUCAUUGUGUCUUCACUGCCUACCUAUGUCAUCCCCUACACAUACAUACACUCUUUUAUAAAAACCAUGAGAAAGUUAGGACUUUCCCAUUUCCUGAUAAAUGAUAAAUCCAAAGUAAAUAGUCCCAUAAAGUUUUUCUCCAUUCAAAUUGUUUGAAUCGUACAGAUAGGUAGAAAAAAAUCACCGUAUCUGAAAUAGGUUUGCUAUCCCUUAGAGUUUAAACAAAUAAUGAAGGUAUUAUAAAUUUCCUUCAACUCUCAAGGCAAAUGUCUCCAAAUAUCCUAAGUUCUGACACCACCAUCUUUUUAUUUUCAGUAAAGAGCAUGUGCAGUUUUCCCACCCCUGACGCUGUAACUGGCUGGCACAUAAAACCCACAGGUACCUGCAGGCAACUGAUUAUAAAGACACCUCCUUUCCCUAACGUAUUGAUUCCCACUGCAAUCUGCCUGCAUCUACUGUAUUUCCUGGAAAUCGCUCUUGCAAGGAUUGCUCAUGACCUUGCAGAAUCAAUCCAGUGAACACAUUUUGGUCCUACUUUACUUGGCAUCUCCCUUAUGCUCUUCUUCCUCUUCUCAUUUGACACACUCUCCCUGGGCAAUCUCAGCCAUACUCUGGGCUUCAGCUCUCACAGACAGAAUUAGGAUUUCUUAACCUAUAUUUCUAGCUCCAGCAGCCUACUAAAUAUUUCUACCUGGGUGUCCAACAGCAUCUCCCACUUAACAUAUCCUAACCAUGUUCGAAUAUUUUUCAUUCUCCUCUCCUUAUAAACUUGUUCUUCUUGAACUCCCCACCUGGUACUGUUCGUAUGUCCCUUCAUUGUUGGGAUUAGCAUGAUUGGAAGAGAAAGACUGAUCCCUCAGGACCAGGCAUGAGCCUGGAAGAGAAGUCUAUGGGGAGCAAGAUAGACACCUAAAUCAUGUGCAUGUGCAAAGCUAGUAAUAAAAUGGCAAGUGAGCUCUGAAUCAGAGGGACGCAGACUGACUGGAUGCCAGACCCAAGGGGACCCAAAGGCAGGAGUCUGAGGGCCUGGAGAAUGACAGCAAGACAGGACACCUGGAAAAACUGCUUGGAAAAGGCACGGUGAACUGAAACAGGCCACUGUGUACUAGAAUAAAGUGCAGGAAGGGAAGGGACAGUCAGUGCUUUACAAAAUACUUUCAUACUUUUAUUUCAUCUGAGAAAUAAAACUCUGUUAUAGAGAUAAAGACUUGAGUAAAAUAA